rnacentral:rRNA from 1 species
AGUGAACGCUGGCGGUAGGCCUAACACAUGCAAGUCGAACGGCAGCACAGUAAGAGCUUGCUCUUACGGGUGGCGAGUGGCGGACGGGUGAGGAAUACAUCGGAAUCUACUUUUUCGUGGGGGAUAACGUAGGGAAACUUACGCUAAUACCGCAUACGACCUACGGGUGAAAGCAGGGGAUCUUCGGACCUUGCGCGAUUGAAUGAGCCGAUGUCGGAUUAGCUAGUUGGCGGGGUAAAGGCCCACCAAGGCGACGAUCCGUAGCUGGUCUGAGAGGAUGAUCAGCCACACUGGAACUGAGACACGGUCCAGACUCCUGCGGGAGGCAGCAGUGGGGAAUAUUGGACAAUGGGCGCAAGCCUGAUCCAGCCAUACCGCGUGGGUGAAGAAGGCCUUCGGGUUGUAAAGCCCUUUUGUUGGGAAAGAAAAGCAGCAGGUUAAUACCCCGCUAUUCUGACGGUACCCAAAGAAUAAGCACCGGCUAACUUCGUG